CGAUAAGGGGACAUCCAGGGCCAACCUCAUAUGCAGGCUGUCCAGAUGUGUAAAAAAAAUCUGUUAGCAAGGGCCGGGCAAAACCGGUUCCAGCCGCCGCGGUAACACCGGCGGCCCGAGUGGUGAUCGUGAUUAUUGGGUCUAAAGGGUCCGUAACCGGUUUGGUCAGUCUUCCGGGAAAUUGGAGGGGUCAACCAUAGGCUUUAGGGGG
rnacentral:rRNA from 1 species